rnacentral:rRNA from 1 species
CAGCAGCCGCGGGAAUACGUAGGGUGCAAGCGUUAUCCGGAAUUAUUGGGCGUAAAGAGCUCGUAGGCGGUUUGUCGCGUCUGCUGUGAAAACUGGAGGCUCAACCUCCAGCCUGCAGUGGGUACGGGCAGACUAGAGUGCGGUAGGGGAGAUUGGAAUUCCUGGUGUAGCGGUGGAAUGCGCAGAUAUCAGGAGGAACACCGAUGGCGAAGGCAGAUCUCUGGGCCGUAACUGACGCUGAGGAGCGAAAGCAUGGGGAGCGAACAGGAUUAGAUACCCGAGUAGUCCCUGUCUCUUAUAC